ACACGUAGGGGCCUGACGUUGUUCGGAAUCAUUGGGCGUAAAGGGCGCGCAGGCGGCCGUCCAAGUCCGGUGUUAAAUGGUCGGGCUCAACCCGAUCAUGCGCUGGAAACUGGGCGGCUGGAGUCCCGGAGGGGGUGGCGGGAUUCCAGGGGGAGGGGUGAAAUCUGUAGAUAUCUGGAAGAACACCGAUGGCGAAGGCAGGCAUCUGGCCGGAGACUGACGCUGAGGCGCGAAGGCGCGGGGAGCGAACAGGUUUAGAUACCCUGGUAGUCCGCGCAGUAAACGAUGCGCACCAGGUGUCGGGCGGCAGCGCCCGGUACCGGAGCAAACGCGAUGAGUGCGCCGCCUGGGGAGUAUGCCCGCAAGGGUGAAACUCAAAGGAAUUGACGGGG
rnacentral:rRNA from 1 species